rnacentral:rRNA from 1 species
GUGGGGAAUAUUGGGCAAUGGGGGAAACCCUGACCCAGCGACGCCGCGUGAGGGAAGACGGCCUUCGGGUUGUAAACCUCUUUUGUACGGGAAGAGGGAAGUGACGGUACUGUACGAAUAAGUCCCGGCUAACUACGUGCCAGCAGCCGCGGUAAUACGUAGGGGACGAGCGUUGUCCGGAAUUACUGGGCGUAAAGGGCGCGCAGGCUGUGCUGCAAGUCAGCUGUGAAAUGUCUGGGCUUAACCCGGGCAUGCGGUUGAGACUGCAGUGCUGGAGUGCUGUAGAGGCAAGUGGAAUUCCCAGUGUAGCGGUGAAAUGCGUAGAUAUUGGGAAGAACACCGGUGGCGAAGGCGACUUGCUGGGCAGCAACUGACGCUGAGGCGCGAAAGCCAGGGGAGCAAACGGGAUUAGAUACCCUAGUAGUCC